rnacentral:misc_RNA from 1 species
AAGUUUUACAGGUCUAAUUUGUUUAAUUAUUUAAGUGGAAGAGUUCCUGAUUCAAAAGAAUUAUUUAUUAAAUAACGAGAUGGUUUUAAAUACGAUAAAGUGUUGUGAUUUGGUUAAUAUGAACCAGGAAAGGGUUAAAAUUACGUUUCACCCUCAAUUUUUAAGCUCAACUAAUCUUUUAUUUGGACUGGUUUAAAGUUAAGUGGAAGAGUUCCUGAUUCAAAAGAAUUAUUUAUUAAACAACGAGAUGGUUUUAAAUACGAUAAAGUGUUGUGAUUUGGUUGAUAUGGACCAGGAUAGGAUUAAAAUUGCGCUUCACUCUCAAUUUUUAAGCUCAACUAAUCCUUUAUUUGGACUGGAUUAUGAAGAAUUUGAUUUAGGUGUUUAAAGUUUGAUCAAUAAAUCGUUAUCUUGUAUCAUGAUGUCUAAAAGUAAAGUGGUUAUUUCGGAUGAAGUACAGGAAGCUGAAGCUCCCCCUCCUCAGCCGGAAGAAAAAGUUGGUGGCGAAGAAGGCGAUAAGAAAGGCAAAAAAGAGAAAAAAGGAAAAAAAGAGAAAGAAGGGAAAAAAGAUAAAAAAAAGGGUAAAAAAUCAGCUGAAGAUCUUACGGAAAAAGGCGAAUCUCAAGUUCAAGUUGACGAUGGUGGUGAAAAGAAAUCCUCGAAAUCACAAAUUGCUUUGGAAGAAAAAUCGUCAAAAAGUGGAACAGACAUCAAAAAAAAGGGAAAAAGUUAUACCUCUGAGUCAAGAAUGGGUAUGAAAAGUUCACUUUUUACUUAUUCUGAUAGUUUGUAUUCAAUGGGAAGUUCGAGUACUGAGGAAGAUGAAGAACCAGAAAAACCAGUGAAAGAGAGCAAAAAAGGCAAAAAAGAUAAAAAAGGAAAAAAAGGUGAGGGGGAGGAAGGCGCGGAAAAGAAGCCUAAAAAGGAGAAAGAAAAAAAGGGUAAAAAAGAGAAGAAAAAAAAAGAUGUAAAAGACGAAGAAGAUGAAGAUGACGUAAUGGCGGCUAUUUUAGCAAUGAAAGCAACUGCCGAUGAAGAACCAACUGAAACAGAGGAAGAACCCAAGGCAAAGAAGAUGUCGAAAAAAGAAAAAGCCCGUCUAAAAGCUCAAAAAGAAGAGGAAGCCCGAAUUGCCGCCGAAGAAGCGGAACAGGCCGCGGAAUUAGCCGCCCAACAACGAGAAGAAUACCUCAAAGUCACCUGCAAAGCGAAAGAAAACAAAGACAUCGUCGAACAAUCGCAACGAGUCGAUCAAUUAGCCGCAAGCGCCGCUUGGAUUAAAUCGAUGAAUUAUUGCAACUGGAACAUCAAAAGUAAAGAAAAAGCCGAUAACGAAUGGAUUAAAUAUCUAAAAUGCGAUGGAUUACCGGAUCCUGCAGAUCCAGCACAAAUGAACACCUAUCUUCAUUUAUGGGAGAAAGUUACUAUUAAUGAGGUGACUCCAGAAGAGUGCGUGCGACGUACCCGGGAAGUACUCGAUAUUUUAAGCGAUUUAAACGAUUGUAUCGAUGAUCCUUUUAACGUUAAAGAAUCGAUCGUGCAAGAUUGGUACUGGGUGAGGGAGUUGUGUAGGAAUGCUCAACGCGAAAAUUUCGACGUCGCCACUUAUCGGUUAAUCAGAGAUGUUGAAGGAAGAAUGAAUCGCAUUGAUAUACCCACGGCUGAUUAUAAGAUUGUUGACGAUAAUUUCAUUUUAUGCCUUUGGUUGUUCGUGGAAAUGGCAACACCUAUGUUUAAUCCGAGAGCGCCGCAAAAGCCUAAAUUAUUCGUGAAUUUUCCCGAAAUGAAUACGACCGUUUUAUUCCCUGGUGUUAUUGAUGGAAAAAAUGUUACUGUUCGUGGGAUUUACGUCAAAUACGACCAUUUAACUGAUACUUGCGCCUCGUUUAAUCCGCCACCAAUCCCUGAGGAAUAUGAAAUAGAACUCUUAGAUUGUGUGACCAAAGAAUGGUACAUCCGAAUGAUGUAUAAAUGGGAUAAUCGUAAAAGAAAACACAUAAUGCUUGAAAACGAUUACGGAGAAUUAGUAGAAGGCCCUUUAGAGCCCGAACCUGUACUCGAAGAAGGCGAAUUACCACCACCGACCCCUUUCGUAGUUCUAGAUCCAACUCCGAGCGAACACGCGAUCGGAAUCGAGGAAGAUCUUUACGCACAAGUCCGCGCGAAUAUGUGCCAACAAGUUCCGGUGGACACAACGGUGAUUAAUUUGCGGAAAUUUUUGAUCGUUGGUGGAAUUUUUUAUGUAAAUCUCGCUUACCAGCCGCCUUAUCCACAGGAUAAAGUCUCCUUCGAAAUUAGAUUGACGAGGCUUUUAAUGCCGAAGAGUUUGGCUGAAGUGGAGUUUAAGGCGGAUUAUCAUCCUCCAGAACCUGAACUUGAGAUGGAAGAAGAAGAGGAGGAAGAUCCUGAAUGUCCUUUACCAGAAAAGACUCCGGAAGAAAUUGAAGAGGAGAGACAAGUUUUAGAGCAGCUCCAACAGGCUGAAUUGGAAAAACUUUUAUUGAUCACUGUAAAGAUACCCCAACAUAUAAUUUUGUUAGAUUUACCAACUUUAUGCACUUGGGAUCCCGACAACAAACAAUGGACCACCGACGAAAUUUACGACGUCAAACAAAUCGAAGAACAAAAUAUGGUGAUAUUUAGAACGACGAGAUUCGGGGCAUUUUCCUUCGCUAUUAAUCGAUAUAUUAACAUGCCGUUUCAAGCUUGGGAAUUAAAACCAGAACCUGACGGUACCGUAACGUUUCAACUAACUUGUGCCAUCUUAAUGCUCGAAUUCAACGUAAAAAAGAACACGAUUUGUUUAACACAGCUCCUAAACAGUCCGAACAAAGCCUUACAAGACAUAAUUGGAACUUAUUACAAGUUACCAAAGUUAAUACGGAUUCUAAGACAAGGCGGGAUCGAUGUAUUUCCAGCAUACGACGCUUUUUGUUACUUAGAAUCGGGAUUUUGCGAAAAACAUUGGCCCCUUGAAAAGAAUUUGUACCAAUUGAUGGGGUUAAUGAGUUCCGUGUUUAAUUUUUCGUGGUCUAGAUGGAACGUGCAGGCGCCGAGGCGACAUAUUAUAAUGCAAAUGAGGGAGUACCACCACGGUCGAUUAAAACAGCUUCACGAUUUCGUCGUUAGAGUGCGCUAUAAAACGAGCGUUCAAAAAGUACAAAAGCAUAUGGCGUAGGUUUUCUAUUUUUGCUAACACAUCCAGAAAACAGUGAAAACGGCCCCCCUGUCAAAAUGGCCCCGUUUACUGUGUGAUCGCGAAUUUGGCGCUCGUUACCCCGAGCCCCCACGGACAUACAACAAACGCUAACCGACGUCGCUGACCCCCCAAACGUUCGACGUCCCGUCAUCCUCGUCGUGUUGUUGUUGCGUCGUCGUAGUCGUGGUGUUGUGUCGCCGUCGUUGUGCCCCCUUUCAAAAACAUUCAGCAACAAAUAGGAUUAAAAAGAAAACUUUGAGUCUGUGAUAUUAGCCGUUUAACGUAAUUUAUUAACUACUAAGAGAUUUUCGAAUUUAUCGACGGUUUGAUUAUAAAGAAGAUUUGGAUUGUUUUUUUUGAUUUUGGGUGGAUUUCGCGGAGAAGGACGCGUUUUGAUUUUGGGAGAAUGUCGAGUGUGGAAGAUGAAGGAGCCGAGACGAUGAUGUCGUCGUCGUCAACAGUUGUUGAUGAACCCCAAAGACAAGGAGACGACGACCUCGAAUCCGUAAAAUUGAUCACCGAAGUCAUGUUAGAAUCGGAUAUUCACCAAGACCCGGCGAUUCUCCUGAUGAGACCUGCCAAUCCAAAACCGGAUAAAUACGUUUAUUCCUAUGAUGUUCUUAUUAAACUUCGACAGUCGCCGUUUUCAACCAAAAGACCCGAUUACUUGGAUACCGCUCACGAUAACAACGGAACUUGGGAUCCCGAACGAUGGCACAUGGAACGGAAAUCUUCCGAGGCCCCCUCCGAGAAUGGAAGAAGUAAUGGGAAUGGAGCUGGAAAUCCAACCGACUUGGAGAAUCACCGG